rfam:Otolemur garnettii contig084474, whole genome shotgun sequence.
GCCGGGUGUUGAGGCAGGCACCUGUGGUCCCAGCUACUUGGAAGGCUGAGGCAGGAGAAUCGCUUGAGCCCAGGAGUUGGAGGUUGCUGUGAGCUGUGAUGUCACGGCAUUCUACCCAGGGGGACAGCUCGAGGCUCUGUCUCAAAAAAAAAAAAGAGCCUCUAUUUCUUUUUUUCUUUUUUCUUUUUUUUGAGAUGGAGCCUCAAGCUAUCCCCCUGGGCAGAGUGCCAUGGCAUCACACUCACAGCAACCUCCAACUCCUGGGCUCAAGCGAGUCUCCUGCCUCCG